CUACGGAGGGUGCAAGCGUUACUCGGAAUCACUAGGCGUAAAGCGCGCGCAGGCGGUCUUUUAAGUUGGAUGUGAAAGCCUACGGCUCAACCGUAGAACUGCAUCCAAAACUAUUAGACUAGAGUGUGGGAGAGGAAGAUGGAAUUAGUUGUGUAGGGGUAAAAUCCGUAGAGAUAACUAGGAAUACCAAAAGCGAAGGCAAUCUUCUGGAACACUACUGACGCUGAGGCGCGAAAGCGUGGGGAGCAAACAGGAUUAGAUACCCUAGUAGUCC
rnacentral:rRNA from 1 species